GACUGCGGAGGAUCAUUAAGAGACGUUGCCCUUCGGGGUAUACCUCCCACCCAUUGUUUAUUAUACCUUUGUUGCUUUGGCAGACCCGGCUUCGGCCCACCGGCUCCGGCUGGUCAGUGUCUGCCAGAGGACCUAAAACUCUGUUUGUUAAUAUUGUCUGAGUACUAUAUAAUAGUUAAAACUUUCAACAACGGAUCUCUUGGUUCUGGCAUCGAUGAAGAACGCAGCGAAAUGCGAUAAGUAGUGUGAAUUGCAGAAUUCAGUGAAUCAUCGAAUCUUUGAACGCACAUUGCGCCCUCUGGUAUUCCGGGGGGCAUGCCUGUUCGAGCGUCAUUACAACCCUCAAGCUUUGCUUGGUAUUGGACAUUGCCAGUUUCUGGCAGGUCUUAAAAUCAGUGGCGGUGCCAUUUGGCUUCAAGCGUAGUAAUUCUUCUCGCUUUGGAGAUCCAAGUGGUUACUUGCCAAUAACCCCCAAUUUUUUCAGGUUGACCUCGGAUCAGGUAGGGAUACCCGCUGAACUUAAGCAUAUCAAUAAGCGGAGGA
rnacentral:rRNA from 1 species